UCUCAUUUAAUUGUAAUAAAAAUAAAUGAAAAUACAUUAAUAUGCAGAGAAUCGGGUCUCUUGAAAGAGCUUUUGUAACCUGAGAGAGCCGGUUACGUGGCAACCAUGAUUGGUUGGUUGAAUUUUUUUAACAAUUUUUUUUUUGCCCUGUGCCCUAUCUCUCUCUCGCUCGACUAUCUUUCACGACUAAUUCUCUGUUGCUCAUCUCUCUUGCUGAUAACAGUCUAGUAUCAGAAGCUUCUUAAGUUUGGUCUGAAAAUCAGAUCGAGAUGCGAUUGUUAUGUUUAUUACUCUGUUGGAUCUCGUUUCUAACGUUAUCAAUCUCAAUCGUUGCAUCGUCGGAUGAUCAAUUCACCGUUGACGGAACAGUACUAGAACUCACAGAUUCAAAUUUUGAUUCGGCGAUUUCAACUUUUGAUUGCAUCUUUGUUGAUUGCUAUGCUCCUUGGUGUGGCCACUGCAAGCGUCUCAAUCUCGCUUUAUUGCAGUUAGACGCAGCUCUAUGACCAUGGAGUUCCAAUGGAGUACUAAGGAUCGAGGAAAGCAGAUUUGCUUGUCCGUUACUUGAAGAAGUUUGUUAUGCUUUGGUAAGCUUCGUUGUUAUAUGCUAUGGAAUUGAGGUUGGCUCUGGUUUGCCUUGUGUGUUAUGUUAUAGACAUGGAACAUAGUAAUGUGAUCCUUUUGUUUUAAUAGGAUUGUUCGAAGAAUCAAACUCUUUUUUAAUGAUGUUGUCAGAUUGUGUUGUGUCUCAGAUAAUCAAGUUCAAGCGGUUUGUAGACAAGGAAACAGUUGAGUAAAUGACAACUCUUAGAGAGAUUUCAGAGAUAAAACCCGGUUACAUUGUGCAGCUAAUAAAAGUCAUAUACAGUUUGCCUAGAUUGUAAUUUCUUUUUCUUGUGGGAAUGGGAUCAAGCUAUCUUUCAUCUUCUAAGUGAAACCUUUCAUAGGCUUGCCAUUUACUUUGUUUGAACAGGAAGUGCUUGAGAACAAGAGGCUUGUAUUCGAUUGUAGAAGCCGUCGUCGUAGCAAGGCGUAAUGCUGGUCUUAACUCAACAUAUAGAAUUAGAAGGCUUGUUGCUGGAGUUGGGGGUAGAAACCAUGUUCCCCUUGUAAGUAACUUCAAGCUUGUGCAACUACUUUAAUGUCUAUGUGCAAUGGUGUUCAUUGGUUGUAAUGUCUCUAGUACUCUCUUAAUAGAUUGUACAAUGUCUUGUACGAGUAAAAACAAACAUGUAUUGCAAAAAAACAUAUAUGCUUUGUUUAACAAUUUUUAAAGUUUUU